UUAUUUGUGGUUCGUAAACCUCCCACACAAAAAAACUAAGGACAC
rfam:Mannheimia haemolytica M42548, complete genome.